rnacentral:rRNA from 1 species
UACGUAGGGGGCAAGCGUUGUCCGGAACCAUUGGGCGUAAAGCGCGUGUAGGCGGCUUCGUAAGUCCGUUGUGAAAGUCCAGGGCUCAACCCUGGAAUGCCGAUGGAUACUGCGGAGCUAGAGUCCGGAAGAGGCGAGUGGAAUUCCUGGUGUAGCGGUGAAAUGCGCAGAUAUCAGGAGGAACACCAAUGGCGAAGGCAGCUCGCUGGGACGGUACUGACGCUGAGGCGCGAAAGCGUGGGGAGCAAACAGG